CGCCACACCCUAACCCUAUCUCCUAGUUCUCGUUUAGUUAUUCUCAUCCCACAACCAUCAUCGACAAAAAUCUCGACAUUGUAAAAAGCGUCCCCAAAGUUGAACGAGUAAGGUUAUUAUUCCCCUCAAUCUCACCUCCAUUGUGAGAAUUUCAUCUCUUUGCUUCUCUGCUUGUAUUUCACUAGGAGGGAGCUGUGAAAAAAAUGAGUUUUCAAAAAAAAA
rnacentral:lncRNA from 1 species